AACUAACGCUGGCGGCGUGCCUAACACAUGCAAGUCGUACGAGAAAGUUGGCUUCGGCCGAUGAGUAAAGUGGCGCACGGGUGAGUAAUGCGUGGAUAAUCUGCCCUUUAGUUGGGAAUAACGUACCGAAAGGUGCGCUAAUACCCGGUAAUACUGCAUAACUACUGUUGUGUAGUCAAAGAAGGCCUCUGUUUACAAGCUUUUGCUGAAGGAUGAGUCCGCGUACCAUUAGCUAGUUGGUGGGGUAAUGGCCUACCAAGGCUACGAUGGUUAGCUGGUCUGAGAGGAUGAUCAGCCACACUGGAACUGAGACACGGUCCAGACUCCUACGGGAGGCAGCAGUGAGGAAUAUUGCGCAAUGGGGGCAACCCUGACGCAGCAACGCCGCGUGAGUGAGGAAGGUUUUCGGACCGUAAAGCUCUGUCGAGCGGGGAGAAAUGCAUGGUGGCUAAUAUCCAUCAUGCUUGACGGUACCGCUAAAGGAAGCACCGG
rnacentral:rRNA from 1 species